AGUCGAGGGGUAUAGUAGCAAUACUAGAGACCGGCGCACGGGUGCGUAACGCGUAUGCAAUCUACCUUUUGCAGAGGGAUAGCCCAGAGAAAUUUGGAUUAAUACCUCAUAGUAUAACGACUCGGCAUCGAGAUGUUAUUAAAGUCACAACGGCAAAAGAUGAGCAUGCGUCCCAUUAGUUAGUUGGUAAGGUAACGGCUUACCAAGACUACGAUGGGUAGGGGUCCUGAGAGGGAGAUCCCCCACACUGGUACUGAGACACGGACCAGACUCCUACGGGAGGCAGCAGUGAGGAAUAUUGGACAAUGGGCGCAAGCCUGAUCCAGCCAUGCCGCGUGCAGGAUGACGGUCCUAUGGAUUGUAAACUGCUUUUGCACAGGAAGAAACAACGCUACGUGUAGCGUCUUGACGGUACUGUGAGAAUAAGGAUCGGCUAACUCCGUGCCAGCAGCCGCGGUAAUACGGAGGAUCCAAGCGUUAUCCGGAAUCAUUGGGUUUAAAGGGUCCGUAGGCGGUCUUAUAAGUCAGUGGUGAAAUCUCCCCGCUCAACGGGGAAACGGCCAUUGAUACUGUAGGACUUGAAUUAUUAGGAAGUAACUAGAAUAUGUAGUGUAGCGGUGAAAUGCUUAGAGAUUACAUGGAAUACCAAUUGCGAAGGCAGGUUACUACUAAUGGAUUGACGCUGAUGGACGAAAGCGUGGGUAGCGAACAGGAUUAGAUACCCUGGUAGUCCACGCCGUAAACGAUGGAUACUAGCUGUUGGGCGCAAGUUCAGUGGCUGAGCGAAAGUGAUAAGUAUCCCACCUG
rnacentral:rRNA from 1 species